rnacentral:rRNA from 1 species
AUUGAACGCUGGCGGCAGGCCUAACACAUGCAAGUCGAGCGGAUGAGAGGAGCUUGCUCCUUGAUUCAGCGGCGGACGGGUGAGUAAUGCCUAGGAAUCUGCCUGGUAGUGGGGGCCAACGUUUCGACAGGAACGCUAAUACCGACUACGUCCUACGGGAGAAAGCAGGGGACCUUCGGGCCUUGCGCGAUCAGAUGAGCCUAGGUCGGAUUAGCUAGUAGGUGGGGUAAUGGCCCACCUAGGCGACGAUCCGUAACUGGUCUGAGAGGAUGAUCAGUCACACUGGAACUGAGACACGGUCCAGACUCCUACGGGAGGCAGCAGUGGGGAAUAUUGGACAAUGGGCGAAAGCCUGAUCCAGCCAUGCCGCGUGUGUGAAGAAGGUCUUCGGAUUGUAAAGCACUUUAAGUUGGGAGGAAGGGCAGUAAGUUAAUACCUUGCUGUUUUGACGUUACCGACAGAAUAAGCACCGGCUAACUUCGUGCCAGCCGCCGCCGUAAAAC